ensembl:lncRNA
GUGAUGAUGAAUCAGACGUUCAACAUCAUCAGCCUUCAAUUCCCAGAGUUCGAAACGCUGGACUGGAUUGCAUGGUUCGAAGUAAAGCUGAUUCCCAUCCUCCCCAGUUUUAAUGAAGUCAUGCUCACCAUUGCUACCUCAAACGUCAACUGCACCAACUACCAAGUCAUUGUAAAUGGAAUGGACAGAGCUUUCCCUGAAAUGACUCAGGAUAGAAGAGAAGGAAUCGCAAGAGUCCUGCUGAAAUACCUGAGGAAAUCUGUGCACCUCAUCAAUGGACCAGCUUGCAGGCAGGACAUCCACGAUGACAAUGACUGGCUUGCAAUCAACCUGGGUUCAUACUCCGAGUACACAACCUAUUCGGAUCUCAAAGACUUCAACAUCUCAGGGGUGGCAGUUCUAGACUCCCUCUCACCAAACCAGAAAGCUGAAUUGAUACUGGACCCAAGCACUGGCGCUCUGGAGAAUGAGACUCUUGCGAAGAACAUUUUCAUCAGCUUGCUGGAAUCUCCAAGGGAAGAGCAGCUCAAUGAGUUCUUUGUGACUUUUGUUGAAGUCACCAAGCAGGAAAACAUCACUAUCAUCACAAACACAGCCGUAAGAGACACAAUGCUAGACCUGACCUUGAUGGCUCUUGCUCCCAAAUUCGACGUUUUUGAGCCAAAAGACUUCCAGCUGUGGUUCCAAGUCAAUCUGGUUGUUCUGCUGGCCAGCUUCCAUCCUGGCAG